rnacentral:rRNA from 1 species
CCUACGGGAGACAGCAGUAGGGAAUUUUCGGCAAUGGGGGGAACCCUGACCGAGCAACGCCGCGUGAACGAAGAAGUUAUUCGUAAUGUAAAGUUCUUUUAACAGGGAAGAAAGAGAAAUUUGACGGUACCUGAGGAAUAAGCUCCGGCUAACUACGUGCCAGCAGCCGCGGUAAUACGUAGGGAGCGAGCUUUAUCCGGAAUUAUUGGGCGAAAAGGGUGGGGAGAUGGCAUAGUAAGUCUUUUGGAAAAAUGCUGGGCUAAACCCAGUAGGGCAAAAGAUACUGCAAAGCUAGAGUAUGACAGAGGCAAGUGGAACUACAUGUGUAGCGGUAAAAUGCGUAAAUAUAUGUAAGAACACCAGUGGCGAAGGCGGCUUGCUGGGUCGAUACUGACAUUGAGGCACGAAAGCGUGGGGAGUAAACAGGAUUAGAUACCCGAGUAGUC